AUCAAGAAAUCUUGGAGAAAGAACAAGUUGCUUACCUUCAAGAAACUUCAAUCUAGGUUCAAAACCCUCUAGGUUCCAAGAUCUUUCCUCAACGAUGGCCCAAAUCCAAGCUCCAAGCCACCAAAAUGAAGAAAGGAGGAUGUAGGUGAAGUUCCAAACCUCCAACAAGCUCUCUCCUUCUUCUUCUUCCUCUCCUUCUUCUUCUUCUCUCUCUAGGAGCAAAGAAAAUGGUGGAAUGAGGGAGAAGAGCAGAGGAAGUAGCCAUAUAUGCCCUCUAGUGUAACAAAAUCCAAAGAGACCCCUAAAAAAUCUAAUAUUGCAUCAGCCCGGUCUGGGCAAUUUUCGCCCAGAGGGACCGGUCUCUCCCUACAUGGGACCGGUCUCUCAUGGCAAACCCGAAAAACCAUCGUUCGGGAACCGGUCUCUCCCCGCGCGGGACCGGUUGCCUCGUCGGCUGCGCAACACUGCUCACUGGGGGACCGAUCUCUCCAAUCAGGGACCAGUCCCCGAGAGUAAAAACUCUCAGGACUCGUCCAGAACUCAGGUUUUCGAACUUUUUAGGUCGGAAAACAUUCCACGACCCUCCACCAAGUGUGGAAAAGCCCGAAACACAUCCAAUCACUCGAACCUCGCAAUUUGUAAAGGUCCAGUGUAUCACAUUCACCCCUCCUAAAAAGAAUUUUCGUCCGUGAAACUCAAAGAGUAAAGUACCUCAAGCCUCAAUCUGAAAAGUAUGGGGAUAGCGCUCCCGCAGCGCGCUCUCCAACUCCCAAGUGGCCUCGCACUCGUCGUGAUUGCUCCAAAGCACCUUCAGGUAGGGAAUCCCACGGUUCCGCAGCCUCUUUACCUCGCGAGCCAAAAUCAUCAAAGGUUGCUCUUCAAAGCUCAGAUCAUCCCUCAGCUCCACUGGUGUAGCGUCCAACACGUGAGCCGGAUCAUGGAUGUACCUCCGAAGGACCGAUACAUGAAACACAUUGUGCACACCCGAUAGGUUUGGCGGUAGAGCAAGUCGAUACGCUAUCGAGCCUACACGCUCCAAAAUCUCAUACGGUCCAAUGUAUCGGGGGCUCAGCUUACCCCGAAUUCCAAAUCUUCUAAUCCCCCUGGUCGGCGAGACUUUCAAGAAGACGUGAUCACCGAUCUGAAACUCCAAGUCUCGUCGACGCCUGUCAGCAUAACUCUUUUGCCCACUCUGGGCUGCCAACAGUCGCUCCCGAGCAAUGCGAACCUUGUACUCAGCUUCCUGGAGCACAUCUGGGCCUAAAGGCAAUCUCUCGCCAACCUCACUCCAGUGAAUUGGCGAUCUACACUUCCGUCCAUAGAGCGCCUCGAACGGUGCCAUCUUGAUGCUUGCUUGAUAACUGUUGUUAUAAGCAAACUCUGUCAUCGGUAGAUGCUGCGACCAUUCUCCCUAGAAGUCAAUCACACAGGCUCGAAGCAUGUCCUCAAGUGUCUGUAUAGUGCGCUCUGACUGCCCAUCACUCUGAGGGUAGAAAGCUGCACUGAAGUCCAUGCACGUGCCCAAGGCAUCUUGUAAACUUCUUCAAAAGUGAGAUACAAAACGGUGGUCUCGAUCUGAUACUAUGGAAGUAGGUACCCCGUGCAGGCGCACAAUCUCAUCUAAAUAUACUUGUGCGAGUCUCUCACCAGUUUAAGUAGUGUGGAUAGGUAUGAAAUGUGCCAAUUUCGUCAAUCUAUCCACGAUCAUCACCCAUAUAGCAUCAUGCCCGGCCUGCGAGCGGGGUAAUCUCAUCACAAAGUCCAUGGUGAUCUUCUCCUAUUUCCCUGCGGGGACUCAAUGCUUAGCUUUAACCUGUUGGCAAGUUAGACAUCUAGCAACAAACUCACCAACGUCUAUCUUCAUCCCGGGCCACCAAUAAAGCAACUUUAAGUCCUUAUACAUCUUGGUGCCUCCCGGAUGUAUAGCAUACGGUGCUCAGUGUGCCUCUUGAAGAAUUUCUUCUUUAAGUGUCAAUUCCGCCGGUACACAGAUCCGUCCACGGAAACGCAUCAGUCCAACACCGUCCUCAGAAAAGUCACCGGUGCAACCAUCAAGCAUCUUAGCUCGAAUCUUUUGCAACUCCGCAUCGGAGACUUGCUUUUCUUUAAUCCUUUCCACUAGUGUAGGUUGCACCACCAAAGUCAAAAGUCUCAAAGGUGUAUCAGGAGCCACCACCUCCAACUCCAACUUGCUUCAUCUGCUCGAUCAACGGCGGUUGAGUAACCACAAGUAUCGCUAAGUUUUCUGUCGAUUUUCUGCUUAGCGCAUCCGCCACCACGUUAGCCUUGCCCAGGUGGUAAAGUAUCGUCAAAUCAUAAUCCUUGAGUAGCUCCAACCAUCUGCGCUGCCUCAGGUUCAACUCCUUCUGAGUGAAUAAAUACUUUAAACUCUUGUGAUCCGUAUAUACUUCGCACCGCUCACCGUAUAAGUAAUGGUGCCAUAGCUUCAAUGCAAAGACCACGGCCGCCAAUUCCAAAUCAUGAGUAGGAUAGUUUCUUUCAUAAUCCUUUAACUGGCGAGAUGCAUACGCUAUCACUUUCCCAUCCUGCAUCAAAACACAGCCUAAUCCAUUAAAGGAAGCAUCACUAUAAAUCACAUACCCUCCUGCGGCAGUUAGCAAGGUUAGGAUCGGGGCGGUCGUCAAUCUCUGCUUCAACUCUUGGAAGCUCCUUUUGCACGCAUCAUUCCAAACGAACUUGGUGCCUUUAUGCGUGAGCCUCGUGAGGGGAGUAGACAACUUUGCAAACCCCUCGACAAACCGUCGGUAGUAGUCUGCCAAACCAAUGAAGCUCCGUAUCUCGGUCACACUCGUAAGCCUCGGCCAAUCCUAGAUAGCUUCAAUUUUCCUAGGAUCCACGGCUAUACCUGAUCCGAAAAUCAUAUGGCCUAAAAACACCACCUCUCUAAGCCAAAACUCACACUUCUUCAAUUUGGCGUAGAGCUUCUUUUCCCGAAGCACUUGAAGUACAAGUCUCAAGUGUUCCUCGUGAUCCACAUCACUUCGGGAAUAGACCAAAAUGUCGUCGAUGAAUACUACGACGAACCUGUCUAGAUAAGGCUUGAAAACACGGUUCAUUAGAUCCAUAAAAGCUGCCGGGGUAUUAGUAAGCCCGAACGGCAUCACAGUAAACUCAUAAUGUCCAUACCGUGUUCUAAAAGCCGUCUUUGACACAACCUCCGGCUUGAUCUUCAAUUGGUGGUAUCCCGACUGCAAGUCGAUCUUGGAAUACACACUAGAUCCCUGGAGCUAAUCAAAUAAAUCAUCAAUCCUCGGUAAUGGAUACUUGUUCUUAAUCGUGACUUUGUUAAGUUCACGAUAGUCCACGCAUAAGCGAAGUGAUCCAUCCUUUUUCUUGACAAACAGGACAGGUGCUCCCCAAGGUGACACACUCGGUCUCACAAAACCCUUAUCCAAAAGAUUCUACAACUGUGCCUUCAGCUCUCUCAAUUCUGCUGGUGCUAUCCUAUAGGGCGCCUUUGAGAUUGGAGCAGUCCCGGGAACGAGAUCUACCACAAACUCAAUCUCCCUAUCAGGUGGCAUGCCUGGAAGCUCAGCUGGGAACACAUCUCCAAAUUCCCGCACUACGGGGAUAUCCUCAAUCCUGGGGGCAUCAUCAUCACCGCUCAACACCACAGUAGCCAAGUAGGCCACACAGCCUCUACUAAUCAACUGUCUAGCUCGAGAGGAACUAAUCGUCAUCGUAAACAGCGAACUCUGGCAUCCUCGAUACGCAACCUGCGCCUGCCCCGGCUCUCUAAAUGUCACCAUUCGAUUCUUACAAUCAAUUGUGGCAUAGUACUUAGUCAACCAAUCCAUACCCAAGACAACAUCAAACUCCUCGAGUUUAUGCAAAGCUAAAAGGUCUACGGGCAUAAUCCAAUCUCCAACCCGAACAGGGCAACUGGGGCAGAACUCCCGAAUAUCUAAGGAAUGAUUGGGUACAACAACUCGUCCAGGAUGCAACAAAGAUGUCAGUGGGAUGCCAUGCAACUCGGCAAAUAGCCGGUCUAUGAAUGAAUGCGAUGCACCGGUAUCAAAUAAUGCUCGUACUCGAAUACCAUAAAGUAAAAUGAUACCUCCGACCACAUUCUCGGCUGCUGCGGCCUCCUCAGUCUGAGCCGCGUACAUGCGCCCUCUCGGGGCCUGUCGUGACACCUCCAUCUGCCGCUGGACAGGUGGCCGCCCAGCCUGGUGAGGUGCAGGAAGUGUCCCCUGGCUGGAACCCGGUGAAGCUGGUGCCGAUGCCGAUGAUGGCGCUGGCGCUGAACCCCUCGGGCAGUCCGACUGGAAGUGGCCCUCCUGGCCACACAGAAAGCACCUGCCCCGACUGCGUGAGCACUGCCGUGGAAAAUGGGGACCACCUCAGAUCACGCAGCGCGGAGCCUGGCGUCGAUCAGGUCCUCCUCGCUGGGUAGACUGGCCAUGUCCUCGCGACUGGCUCCGGCUCCUGGGAUGCCUCGGCGGCCUCCGUGAGUGCGUCUGACUCGCAACCUCAGCCGCUGUCCUCUUGCCCUUGCCCUUGUCUAGGGCCUCGUGUCGCUCCUGAAGGUCUGCCACUCCAGCCUCAACAAUGAGUGCGCGGUCCACAACCUUCCGGUAGGUUUGGAGGUUAGAGGAUUGCACCAACCGAAAGAUCGAAGGCCGCAAUCCGCGCUCAAAAAUGCGUGCCUUGUCCUCGUCAUCCCGCACCACAAAUGGUACACAGUAGAGUAGCCGAGAAAACUCCCUCUCGUACUCGGCCACAGACCUCUCCUCCUCGCGCAAGCUGCGCAAGUCCUGCUCCAUCUUCCUCUUGGCGCUGGUAAGGAAGUAGUGCGCCAGAAGCAGCUCCUUGAAUCUCGCCCAAGAGAUCACUGCCAAAUCUGUGUUGGGGUUGUCUAGGAUGCCCAACCACCAACGGUAGGCCUAGCCGUCCAAGAAGUGGGUGGCGAGCCACACUCUGUCCCUCUCCUCUACAAAGGUAUCNNNNNNNNNNNNNNNNNNNNNNNNNACGAAAUAGCUUUUUUCCAAUAUGCCAUGAGCCAGCUUCUCCACUAUCCAGUGGUCCACGGUCCACUCCCGUCAAAGGUCCGUAGACUGCACUCCUGAACAUCACUGAGACGCUCCAUAAGCCGAUCCCGCUCGCUCCUCAACCAAUCGCGGGAAAACCGCCCGCUACAGAUGCUCGCGCCGGUGGUGCCAAGAACUCCCUCCCGAGGCGGGCAAUAUCCGGUGAUGUCCGCGAGUUACCGGCCUAGAGACGGCCCCCUUCGGUGUCGCUAUCAACUACCGGUGCUGGUGUGGGGUGUGGAUCACCUGUGCCUCCCUGGCAGCGCCUGCUUGGUCCUAAUCAAAUCCUCCAGUCCCUCCAUUCCCCCUCCUGCGGCGCGCGCGCAUCCGCUGUUGUCGUGCUGCCGCGCCUGCUGUCGACUAAGUCAAUGAGGGCCGCCAGCUGGCUCCUCAACUCAACGGACCUCGCGCAGUCUGGAGUAGGCAGAGUGUCUCUAACCUCCUCAAAGUUCCGCGGCAUUGUCCGCUCGGCGAUAGACUUAGACGCGGAGUCAUCAGCAUUAUCACGACAACAUCAUAAAAGCACAUUGUAAGAACCCACGAAAUACGCAACCCGCUUCACUAAUUAAGUAACAAAAUCAUGCGAAAAAGUAAGUGACAGUGUCCUUCCACCACAUAACUUAACGUCCCGAUUUACGUUGCUCGGUGCCAGGCCACCACGUAACCCUGCCCGCCGAUAGUUAAAGCCAUACAACUCUGAUCAAACUCUAACUUAUAGAGUUACCAUCAAAGCAAUCGAAAUACUUUCCGGCUAACAAUUAAAUUUUAGAACUCGUUCUCACGAGGCGUACUUUCCUAUAGUCCACGCUUGCUUGCCGUCUGUGUUAGACAGCCUAAGUUUGUUAGGUUGUCCUCUAAGACCAACCCUAGUGCUCUGAUACCAACUAAUCUUCAUGCCCCGGACCGCAGAGGCCCUCCCAGUAGCGGUGCCAGUACCCGCCAUAUGUCAGCCACAAUAUAAGGCGUCCUACAACGAACAGCGAAAUAAACCAAAGGCUAACCUAAUUCUAGAGAGUAUCAGCAUCACAGAAGAAUCUAUAUCUAUAACAAGGUAAAAAGAGUAUAACCAGAAAAACAUAUAAAGACGAACAUAUAGGCAUACAAUAUUAAUUCCCAAAAAGUAACACAAAUGGGUGGUCUCUAGUACACGUGUACACAUCAAUCACCUCUCCAAAAUAUAAAACAUGAGAGUAACACUCUACUCGCACUCGUCCCUCACAGGAAGAGCUAGCUCGAAGAGCAACGCGCUCCCACUGUGUCCAUAGUCCUCUCCGCGUGGAAGGCUCUAAACAGAAAAGAAAAAGAUGGCGUGAGAACUAAAUUUAUAGUCCCAGUGGGCAAUUACUGCGCCAUCAGUCUCAAUGCACCAUAGGCCCUCCCAAAAGAAGAGGGUAGAGUCAAAAAGAGAGCAAUAAUAAUAAAUAAUGCAAUUAAGAAGGCAUAAUAAAAUGCUAAGAUACCACUCCUGUGUUCAAUUAAAGAUGCACUUUAAUUUCAAUAAUGAGUCAAGUAUUUUCUACAUGAGCCGCACAGUGAGCAAUUCAAAAUCGUUGAUUUAUGAAAUAUGCAGACACAAGCUCUAACUAUGUACAUCAUGAUUUACAUGAAUGCAAUAGAGCAACAUCUCCAGCAUGCUAUAUUUGAUCAUAGUGCAAUACUCAAGUGCCCACAGCUAGCUAGGAGCAUAGUCCAAGACUCCAACUACUACUCUCUAGUCUGAUAGUGACAAAAAUCCACUCAACACUGUGUCGAUUAUUCAUUUUCAAUUAAGGACCUUAACCCAAGGUAGUUCUAGCUGUGCGCCUAAGUGGCCUGUGGGUUGUUGUAGUGUUUCCACAUUCCUGCUCUUGAAUGCUGUCGUCCCACUCGAACCCCGUAGGGCUUCUCAUACGCAUGAGCGACUACAUAAGUCGACGUAGGCUAAGCUCCGGAGUGCGCGCUUUGUAGGGAGCUGACCCUCACAAGCAAUAUGCGAAUGACACAAAUGGGCAGCAAAGUAGCAAAAGGCUCCAAGUAUCCAACGCGCUCAUCUCUCAAAUAGGCAAUAGCUCACUCAGUACCGAAUCGUCUAAGCUCUAUGUCAUCAAUUGUAAUAACCCAACACCAACUCCUAGCUUAGUGCGCUCUAUACACUUAAAACGUCAACAAACUAAUCAACGACCAGAUUCAUAUUUAUGUUCCAAUAAGACAUAAAUACCAAGUUCACUAUAUGCCCGGCCAAUGCUCUCUUAAUGAAUUGGCCCAAUUUCUAAAUAUAUUUAAGUCCCCAAGCCUGCCUAAGGCUUCUAAGUCUCUAAUGUCAUAAUGGGCAUAAGAUCAAUCAUGAAAGCAAUGCUCAUUCUCAUGUACUGGGAAUUAUGGUUCCAAAGUCUCACAGAAUGAUCAAAUCUCACCAAUGAUGCACUCUAACCACGAGAGGUCCAAAAAAUUUACUAUAAAUACAUAAGCAUGUUAAGCAUCUCAAAUAUUCAUAAUAAAUAAUCUAAACAUGAUUAACGCAAUGUCUUUAAUAAUUUAACAAUACUGCAAAUCAUCCACAAAUGGAAUUUUCUCAUUGUUGGCUAGGUCAAAACCACCGAACGGUCGCGUAGUCCUUCAUUCGCCGAACGCAAGUUAUCCCACGAGUCUCAAAAUAUCCUAAAGUAAUGGCGAAGACAUACACGGCACUACGCAACUAUAGAGAUCAAUCAUUAAACCCAAUACAGGCAAAAGGCUAAAAUCUCACCUAAGGUUUGGAGAAAACGUCGUCACAAACUCCCAAAAAAAGGCUAGAACUUUCCCACGGAAACUCCAAGCAAAGAUUCUAAAUCCAAGCAAUUUACGCGCACAAAGCUCUAACAUCAAAAAUGCCACAAAUUCAACAACCUAAAAAUCCUUACUAGUUUCAUCUACUAAACCUUCCAAAUCAAAGAAAAUCUUGGAGAAAGAACACACGUUGCUUAGCCUCAAGAAGGCUUCAAUCUAGGUUUCAAAACCCUCUAGGUUCAAGAAUCUUGUCCUCAACAAUGCCCAAAUCCAAGCUCCAAGCCACCAAAAGGAAGAAGGCAGGGUGUGUGAAGUUCCAAACCUCCAAACAAGCUCCUGCCUUCUUCUUCUUCCUCUCCCUUCUCUCUUCUUCUCUCUAGAUGACAACGGAAUGGUGGAAUGAGGAGAAGAAAGAAUAUCGCAUAUCAUGCCUCUACCUAGUAUACAAAAUUAACAAAGCGUCCCUCAAAAAUCCAAUAUUGCAUCUCAUCCACGGUUCUGGACAAUUUUCACACCGGAGGAUCCGUUCUCCCUAAUGGGACCGUCCUCUCAUGGCGAACCUGAAAAGCCAUGUUCGGGAUACCGGUCUCUCCCCGCGCGGACCGUUGCCUCAUCGACUGUUGCCACACUGCUCCCACUGGGCGACCGGUCUCGAUCCUACAAGGACCAGUCCCCGAGCAGUAAAAACUCUCAGACUCGCUUCCAGAACUCAGGUUUUCGAACUUUAGAAGUCGGAAAACAUUCCACGAACCCUCCACAAGUGGGAAAAGCCGAAACACAUCCAAUCACCUAAUCUCGCACUUUGCAAAGGUCGUAUGUCACACCCGGCGCGUGACAAAUAGAUUCAUAUACUAGUAGUAAGCUUCAUUUAUCGUUCAUUGAAGGCUAACUAACAUUUGAGACAUUACUAUGUGUACUCAUUUCUUUACUGUUUAGGCAUACGUAUCAUGAUUGGUAGAUUCAUACUAUGCAGUAGCUCUUGCAUUCAUAAAUAUGAGCAUUAGGCAUGUUGUAGAGUACAUCCGCCUAUUUGUAGUACGCUCAUUAAUUGUAAUAUUGAGCAUAGUCCAUGAUUAAUGAAUACAAUGUCUAUGUCAGCAUUCAUGAUACAAGACAUAGAUACAUGUGUAUAUUUAUUACGAUGUAGUCAAGCUCUUUUCACGUACCUAUCUGAUCUAUCUUGUUGCUUAUGCCUGUUUGACGCUAGUGGAAGACUCGGCGACGGUCAGGCCGAACCCACGGGAACUUAUUUAUAUAGUUUCUCGACCCACUUGUUGCAUGGGCUUAGCGAGAGAGCAUCAGGUUCAAAACCCUCUAGGUUCCAAGAUCUUUCCUCAACAAUGCCCCAAAUCCAAGCUCCAAGCCACCAAAAGGAAGAAGGGAGGGUGUGGGUGAAGUUCCAAACCUCCAACAAGCUCUCUCCUUCUUCUUCUUCCUCUCCUUCUUCUUCUUCUCUCUCUAGGAGCAAAGGGAAUGGUGGAAUGAGGGAGAAGAGAAGAGGAAGUAGCCAUAUAUGCCCUCUAGUGUAACAAAAUUCAAAGCGGCCCCUCAAAAAUCCAA
rnacentral:lncRNA from 1 species